UAGAGUUUGAUCAUGGCUCAGAACGAACGCUGGCGGCAGGCCUAACACAUGCAAGUCGAACGCCCCGCAAGGGGAGUGGCAGACGGGUGAGUAACGCGUGGGAACCUACCUAGAGGUGCGGAAUAGCCCAGGGAAACUUGGAGUAAUACCGCAUAAGCCCGCAAGGGGAAAGAUUUAUCGCCUUUAGAUGGGCCCGCGUCGGAUUAGCUAGUUGGUGAGGUAAUGGCUCACCAAGGCGACGAUCCGUAGCUGGUUUGAGAGAAUGACCAGCCACACUGGGACUGAGACACGGCCCAGACUCCUACGGGAGGCAGCAGUGGGGAAUCUUGGACAAUGGGCGCAAGCCUGAUCCAGCCAUGCCGCGUGAGUGACGAAGGCCUUAGGGUUGUAAAGCUCUUUUGGCGGGGACGAUAAUGACGGUACCCGCAGAAUAAGUCCCGGCUAACUUCGUGCC
rnacentral:rRNA from 1 species